rnacentral:rRNA from 1 species
GGUGAACGCUAGCGGGAGGCCUAACACAUGCAAGCCGAGCGGUAUUGUUUCUUCGGAAAUGAGAGAGCGGCGUACGGGUGCGUAACACGUGUGCAACCUGCCUUUAUCUGGGGGAUAGCCUUUCGAAAGGAAGAUUAAUACUCCAUAAUAUAUUGAACGGCAUCGUUUAAUAUUGAAAGCUCCGGCGGAUAGAGAUGGGCACGCGCAAGAUUAGCUAGUUGGUGAGGUAACGGCUCACCAAGGCGAUGAUCUUUAGGGGGCCUGAGAGGGUGUUCCCCCACACUGGUACUGAGACACGGACCAGACUCCUACGGGAGGCAGCAGUGAGGAAUAUUGGUCAAUGGGUGCAAGCCUGAACCAGCCAUCCCGCGUGAAGGACGACUGCUCUAUGGGUUGUAAACUUCUUUUGUAUAGGGAUAAACCUACCCUCGAGAGGGUAGCUGAAGGUACUAUACGAAUAAGCACCGGCUAACUCCGUG